CCUACGGGGGGCAGCAGUGGGGAAUUUUGGACAAUGGGGGCAACCCUGAUCCAGCCAUGCCGCGUGAGUGAAGAAGGCCUUCGGGUUGUAAAGCUCUUUCGGCCGGGAAGAAAUCGCUCAAGCUAAUACCUUGGGUGGAUGACGGUACCGGAAGAAGAAGCACCGGCUAACUACGUGCCAGCAGCCGCGGUACUACGUAGGGUGCGAGUGUUAAUCGGAAUUGCUGGGCGGGAAGCGUGCGCAGGCUGCGAAAUCCCCGGGCUGAACCGGGGAACUGAGUUUGUGACUGUGGUGCUCGAGUGCGGCAGAGGGAGGUGGAAUUCCACGUGUAGCAGUGAAAUGCGUAGAGAUGUGGAGGAACACCGAUGGCGAAGGCAGCCCCCUGGGUCGACACUGACGCUCAUGCACGAAAGCGUGGGGAGCAAACAGGAUUAGAUACCCCGGUAGUC
rnacentral:rRNA from 1 species